rnacentral:lncRNA from 1 species
CGCAGGCCGCAGGUCCCGCAGGUAGGAUCCUCAGCUUUGCACGCUCUCUCGCGGGGAGCCUAGUUUCUUGGCAUUCCAUUUCCUCGCCAGGUACCAGUCUUGAGUCACCAUCCGUGGAGUGCGUCGGCCCGCCGCGUCCUAACUCCUUCCCCGCGCCCGCGCCGGUCAUUCCCCCUGUGCGUUGUGUGUGUGCCCCGACAAGUGCUUCUGACCGGUCCCUCCGCCUAACUAUGCGUUACUGACUCCCGAAAUCGAGUGUGCUUUUGACAAUGUGUGUGUGUUUCGUUUCUAAGGGAUUAAACUUACUCUCAUCACAGAAAUACAGCGCGCAUCCAAAGUGAUGGUGAUACGAAACUGGGCGACCAUAUCGGUCGUCAUAGCAACCUGCUUUUUAGCGCAGGCCUCGCCUCAGGGGUCGAAUAAUUUAUUCACAUGUCCUGCAGGUAAGAACCCCAGACAUUUUAUUUAUACCUGCACGUCAAUAUAGAGACUGCGGCUGUUGCACGAAAGAAUACCAAUGAAGUAACCACGAAACACCACGGGAAAUCAUCCGACAAAAAUCUAUCACGCUU